CUAAGUUGUUACUACUUGAGAAGAUUCAUACCGAUGAGAAUCCGUCAGACAUGCUGACGAAAGUGGUGACUCGGGAGAAAUUUGAGUUCUGUAGAAACGUUGCAGGUAUACGCUCCAAGUAAUGGAGUCAUAUUGACAUGGAUGAGAGAGGGGGAGAUUGUUGAAUAAUCUCUCAACCAUGUGAAAAGGUACAACCACAAUUUUUGUUUCAAAUUGGUAGGUCACCAACCACAAUCUUGUUCAAAUUGGUAGGUCACCAACCACAUCAUUUGUUCAAAUUGGUAGGUCACCAACCCUACCAACCAUGUCUUUUUCACCACAUUCUUUGCUUAUAUAAAGGCCAUUCGGGAGCAAGCUAAAACACACCAACACAAAAACAAUUCUUUUGUGUGUUAUCUGAGAGAGAAUUUUGAGAGUUGCUCACAAUUUGGUGAGCGGUAGUUAGUGUCCAAAAAUUAGAGUGUAUAUUAUACAAGAGUGGUUGUGAGGUUUCUUUGGGUACAAUAUUUGUCCCAAAGGGUGUUCUUGUAUCGUCUCUAUUUUCGGUGUUUCUCAAGUUGGUCACUUGAGAUUUUGGUGUAACAUUAUUUUUUUUAUAGUGGAUAUUUCUCGGAGUUUGGCCAGUGGUUUUCCCUCUAAAUUUGGGAGGGUUUUCCACGUAAAUUCUGGUGUUCCGAUUGCUUGUGUUAUUUUUCAUAUUGUUCAACGACCGAGUAAAGUGAAAAUUAAUAUUUUAUUCCCAACAAGUAUUAUUAUAGGAUAAAAGAAUAUUAUCACCUUCCAAUAAAAGAAUACACGGGACAAAUAUUGUCUUUAGCAUGAAUAUAUCAGAAAUGGGAAAAUUGUGGUUUUGCAGUUGUAGAAUUUAUUUAAAUGGUAAAUCGUGUUAAGAUAGUGUAGACAAAGAGAAAAAAGAUAAUUGUAGAUAAAUAUACCUCAAUCAAGCAAAUAAUGUAAAAUCAUGACUAAUCGCUGACUAAGCUUAAAAUAUAAGUGGAUAGUUUGUCAUCAAUUUCCAGCUUUUAUGUUAUGGGCGGUGAGAGACGAAAAGGACUUCAUUUCUUGUGGAUCUAACAUCUAUCUAUACUCCUAUCGAAGUACUGAUUUUUCGUAUAUCGUCGUUGUAACGUAACUUGCACGGAGAAAAAAUUGAAGGCAGCAAUUUCAUAACAUAGUCAUGGUAAAUACUAAUGUUAUAUAUAAGCCGGAUUGAUUCAAACUUUUAAUUAUCAAAUCAAAUUGUAGUGUUG
rnacentral:lncRNA from 1 species